rnacentral:rRNA from 1 species
ACGGAGGGUGCAAGCGUUAUUCGGAAUUACUGGGCGUAAAGCGCGUGCAGGCGGGCUUGCAAGUCUGAUGUGAAAGCCCCGGGCUUAACCUGGGAAGUGCAUUGGAAACUGCAAGUCUUGAGUGCUGGAGAGGAAGGGGGAAUUCCCGGUGUAGAGGUGAAAUUCGUAGAGAUCGGGAGGAAUACCAGUGGCGAAGGCGCCCUUCUGGACGGUAACUGACGCUGAGACGCGAAAGCGUGGGGAGCAAACAG